AAAACGUCACUAACGUAAAGCAGCCCUUUGUUUGUCGUGCAGCCUCUGGUUACCAUAACGACAGUCAAGAUGGCAGCAACAGCAGGUGGAGACCAGCACGUUUCUUCGGAAGUUUUAAGAGGACUCGCCCAUCAUUUAAACUGCCUAAAUGAGGACAACAAGGCGACAAGAAAGAGAGCUCUGGAGGUCAUAAAGAAAGAAACGGUGGACAAAGGACUUUCCAGCGACGUCCUCCAGGAAAUACUCUCAGCUCUUGUCAAGCCUCUCCUCAAAUGUCUUUCCGACCCAAUGGAAAGAUGCAGAGAAACGGCAAUUGCAGUCAUAACAGACUUUAUUCGUUGUGUUCCCAAACCCGAGGAGUUUCUGCCGUAUUUAAUGCCGUGCCUGGCUCAGCGGUUUGGGGAGAACGAGAUUCUAGAACCGGCGGAGGAGCUUCGGUUGUCGGCUGUGGAGAUGCUGAGUCUGACCGUGGAGGUUUGCGGAAAACAUUUGGCGCCUUAUGUGAGCGAAAUGAUCAAGAUUUUACAGAGAACCAUCGUCGACCCCUUCCCGGAUGUUAAAAGAGAAAGCUGCAAAUGCACCGCCAACUUUGCGCAGAGUGUUCCAGAGCAUUUUCACAUGCAAGCUGACAGUCUUGUCAAGCCUCUCAUGAUAACGAUAACUCAUCAGCACUCGCGGGUGCGGGUGGCAGCCAUCGAAGCCACAGGGGCGGUCAUGCAACACGGGAGUGGGAGAAACAUGGAUGACGUUCUCCCACACCUGACUCAGAGAUUUUUAGACGACUCACCACAGGUGAGAAAAGCUGCGACUGCUGUGGUUGGUUGUUGGCUGUUGCACCUGAGAGACCGAUAUUCUUAUUUUCACAAACUGAUUCCUCUCUUGCUGAGCAGCACCACUGACGAAAUCCCAGAAAUAAGACUUCUAGCAGCUGAUUUAUGGAAACAAGCAGGAACACAGUGGGAGAAAGAAAAUGAGGAGGACAUAAAAGACAAGAUGGACUUUCUUCUCUCUCCUCCGGCACACUACCCACCAGGAGUGGAUCGUCCAGUUCUGGGCUGCAGAGAGUUGGUUAUAAGGAACCUUGGGAGGCUGAUCCCAGGCAUCACCCAUGAUUUGACUGACUGGUUGGUGCCGACGCGCAUCAAAACCUCCCAGCUCCUCUCUGUGCUGCUGCUGCAUGCUGAGGACCACAGCACUCAGCAUCUGCAGCCCCUGCUGGAGACCCUCUACCGCACCUGCGCAGAGACAGAAAAGGAGGUGGUCAAAAACUGUCUGGCAGCUGGAAAACUGAUAGGGACGUUUGUCCCUCCACCUGUCUUCCUCAAGCUGUUGCUGGACCAUGUUAACGCCCCGCACUCUUCCGCUCACCCCUGGGCCCCCUUAAUGGUUCUGACUGCGGUUCUGGAAGGCUGCUCCAAACCACUCCUGAAGCCACAUCUCCAGCAGAUCGCCGACACUCUGGUCCAGCCCAGCGUCUGCCAGGAAUACCAGCAGGCUGUGUACUUGCAGCAGUUGCUGGCGUGCGUGGACGUGCUGCUGCAUCAGUGCGAGUCCGACUGUGGCGCGGUCAGCCUGCAGCUGCUGCAGGUGCUGAUCAGCAUCCAGAGCCUCUCCGCAGAGCCGCAGCUGAGCGCGAGGGCUUUGGAGAGCGCACACUUUUUGGGUAAAGUACAGGACCUGGACUUGAUGGAGCUCUAUAGACAGCAUAUGGGACAGCUGCUGGACUGGUUGUUUGCCUCCGUUAGUAAUUGGUCCAGUUACUCCCCACAGAGACUCCAGCUCCACAUCAUAGUCACACAAUCAGGUCCAGUUAUCGGGGAGUUUUUGAACCAGCUGAUGCCUAUUAUCAACAGUUGCCUCCAGCCAGACAGAGACAAAGAAAUGAGGAUGAGCAUCUUCACGAUGCUGGCCAAACUGCUGCUGGAUGGGAACAACACGCUGGAUUCACAGGGGCAUUUCCGCAAUGAGGCAGAAUCAUUUCUUUCCUACAUCCUGAUUCCCAACCUGGUGUGGAAAGCUGGCCGCACCGCUGGCGCCCUGCGCACCUCAGCCUUAAGCUGUCUGCUGGCCCUGCUGCAUGGAGGGGCCAUCACACCUGGACAGCUGCUGUGUCUGGAGGAGAGGCUGAGUCCUCAGGUGCUGUCCGCCCUGGAGGAAGACUCUCAGAUGGGGAGGCUGUUGGCUUGUCGCUCUCUGUCUGUGAUGCUGACGCUCAUAGGACGCAGCAUGAACCAGGACACUCUGAACAAGAUUUAUCCUGAGCUUCUGAAGCGUCUGGAUGACAGCAGCGCCGAGGUGCGUGCUGCGGCUCUGCGUGGCGUGGGGCUCUGGCUCUCCAGCCUGGCCAAAGACUACAGCCCUGAACUGUGCGCCCCUCAUCUCCAGCUCCUCUUUCAGCAGCUGCUGCUGCACCUGGAUGACCCCAACCUCACAGUUCAGGACCAAGUGCUCGCUGUGUGCAGUGAAGUCAACACACAUGGGGAUGAGAGGAAUUUGGGGUGUCCUCAGUCAAAACACAAGAUUACUUCCACUGGCAUGCUCCCAAGAAAUCCGCUCCUCUCUUAUUUCAAAAGCUUCCCUUUAUCCUCCUUUUCCACUCGAUUUAUCACUGAAAGGACCGUGAACGGUUCUCCCUGCCAAAAUACUUAAAGCCCACUGAGGGGAGGGCUGCUUGUGGGGUUCAAGAUCCUGAUAACCCACCUGAGAGGGUUCACAGGUUAAUAUGUGAGCCCUGGUAUCUGCCUGGCUUCAUCCAUCCUUUUGGGAACCAGCAGUGUGGACAGAUUGAGCCGUGUGUGGCCGGAGUCUGCCUCUCCACUCUGGGUCUGCCGUCUCUUCUAAUGACAAACACAUGACACCCCCCCUCCUUUACCACAUCUUCACAUCUGUCUUCAACUCAUCCCACUUAAUCCCUCCAUCUUUUAUCUGUCAGUCUCUCCUCCUUGUGUUUUCUCUGAAUAGUUGUGCUUUUUACUGCUGGAAAGUCUCGUCUCCUCUGGACUUUGAUUCUGCUCGUCGUGAUUUUUGUUCAUUUUUGACAGACCCCAGAAAUCCUGAAAAAGGGCAGCGAGGUCCAUCCCGUGCUCCUGAAGAGGGAGGCAGAGGCUGUAAAGGAUAAACACCGCAGUCCUGUGUACUGCGAGCUGCUGCUUCAACACAUCAGCUCACUGUCUGCAGAGACCACAG